ACAUAUUCAGAUUGCUGAGGUCGGGUCAUUCAGCCCUAGACUGUAUGUCACGCAAACACACUGCCCUAGUUUCCACCAAUCAUUACUCUCCGAUCAUUCACCUUAAAUGCCCCCAUUUUGGUGUAUAUAAGAUGCAAAAUUUGGGUUAGGAGAACAAAUCUACUCACUAGGUCAGAAUUAUUAGAAGUUAAACAGGGGACCAGCACCCUGACCAGGCGCUGGUCCCCGUAACAUCAAGCAGUGAGAGCCGUCGUACUAACUUCAGUAUGAAGAGCCGGAAGAAACGAGAAAAAAUAAAUUCAACAGAUUGUCAUCGACUUCUGAAGACGAAGAGAAAUAGCAAACAAGAAUGGAAAAUUAAAAAAGUUUGACAUCAUUUGAUCGGUCGAUCCAGUCCAUGCCAACUUGAACGACGAAAAUGGAUAAAAAACCAAAACACGCAGAGAACAAGAGAAACGGCACAAAGAGAUCUUGGGAAGUUCAGCGAACUGAACGCUCAGUUAAUGUAUAUACUGAUGCUUCCAUGUGUUAAGCUUCAGUUCACUAUGUUUACUUUUUUUGUAAAUUCAGUAACGUGCACUUUGAUGCCAAGUCGGAUGAUGGAUCAUCCCGGUGAAGUAAGAAUAUUCCUUGUGAGAUUUGAUGCUUUAUUAGUGGCAUAAAUGAUAUAAGUGAGAGGGUGAGUAAGACAGGAUGUUUGUUUACUGAUGUGAAUGCUUAUAUGUCAAAAGAAUAAGAGACUGAUAGUAAGAGAAAGGUAUGACAACCUGUCGUGAAAAAGAAAACUGAAAGGGAGUGUGUUCGAUCGAGAGAAUAAAUUGUAGUAUGCAUAUGUGUGCAAAAGAAAUGUUUCUAACAUUUCUGCAUUUAGAGGCUGAACUUUGAAAUACUGCAUAAUAUUGUAUCUUAUGUUAUGGGACUCCAUUACUUACUUUAAGUACUUUUUUAGUACUCCGUGUCUUCUUGUGCCAUAUUAAGACAUGUACAUAUAACUGUGUAGCAGAGCACUGCUAUAAUACAAUGUAACCUGCUUUUUCUUUUUGAGUUGCAUUCUCAGGUGUGUGCGCCACUGAAUUUUAUAUUUAAGCAGCACAUAAGGGUGAACUUGCCGGUGAUUUUUGUGUGUGGAACCUUUUAAGUUUCCAGUAUGUAUGUCAGGAGUGUGUGCUUGGAAAUGCUAGAGUAUUCGAAUGUAUGUUUAGACACUAGAUUGAUAUAGGAUACCUGAUGUGUUUUAGAGAGCUGUUGUGUGUAGUAUGUUUGCUUCAUAGCGGCGACGGUGAAUAUGAAUUAGAGUAGGACUUUCUGAGGUGUAUACGAUGCUUAUUUUAUCUUUAUGUGCCUUCAAUUCAUUGAACAGAAUUUCUCUAGAUCUGAAUUGGGAUGAAUAUGUACCGGUGAUUUUGUACAUAUAUAAUUGCGUUGUUACUUUAAUUAGUAAUGGAUAUGCUUUUUACACAGUUAUACAACUCUAGAAUUUCACAACAAAAAAGAAAAGAAGAAAAAUCAUUGAAGCUUAUAUAAACAAAAGUGUUGUGACAUGCUAACCCGAUGAAAUGUUCUAAACAUUUAAGAGAGAGAGAGAGAUUCUUCUAUGUAUGCGUCUGAAUUAAUGAAAGUGAGGAAUUAGAUAGAUCGUAAUAUUUUGUUUACUGUUCUUAAUUAAAAUGAUUUUAGGCCCUGUGUUAUGUCCUGCAGUGGCCAAGGAUGAAUAUGUACCGGUGACGAGACAUAAAUCAAAACAGAAAGAGAGAAAAAGAGAGAGAGAGAGACUCUUAAUUUGUUCCAUUAUUGUGCUGUGAAUUUCUGUGCCAUAUUGUUUUCUUUAUUAUAUAUCAAAUAUUUUGUUUGCAAUGCAUCCAAUGCUACUACAAGUAUGAUUUGUUUGUGUCCGAUAAACAUUUCUUUUUUUACAAUAAAGAAGGCGAAAAUUA